CCUUGCAAUUUUCACAUUAGUAUUUGCAUCGUUGAAUCUUUGAUGCAUUAACAUGUCGAGUUGCUGGAUUAGAUUAGAUCGUUUUUCAGAUUUUUCUACUAGAUCGAACUUGUUUUUGGUUUUCUUGUUUUUUGUGUGACACAGGUUUCCUCUUUAAUUCUUCCGCCGCCAAUCUCCCUGCCACACCACCACCACAUCAUCAAUCCGUUGUUGCCACCAUCAUAUCCGCCUUCGUCAAUUUCGUUUCGAAUCCCAAUUUAUUUCGCCACCGAUUUCCAAUUUGGGUCCAAUUGAGAGUGCUUUUGGAAAGUGUUUCAGAAUAAGGAAGGAGAUCGAAUUUUGUUUAGAGAUCAAGUUGUGAAAAAAAAGAGAAGAAAGAAAAAAAAAGAAAAAAAAGAAAGAGAGAGAGAGAGAGAAAGAAUCAAUUUCGGAUCCAACCUCGAGGAGAAUUUUAGUUCCGAGUGGGUUUGACCCGUGUUCAGUAAAACGGGCAUAUCAUUUGCAUACCAACUCGGAUUUGGACGUUCUUAGAAUUUUUGGAAAGCUCUCGACGAGGCGUAUCAGGAAAUAUCCAGGGCAUUUCCCUGCACUUUGAACC
rnacentral:lncRNA from 1 species